AGAAAACAAAAAAAACAUUAGCCACGUAGGCAAAUUCACCCGAUUUGGACAAUGGGAAUAAACUUCCUAGACGAAAUUUCCACAAGUGCUAUUUUGAUUGCUAGGUUGGGCCGCCAAUGAAAAUGUUUCAAGUUCGUGUAAAACAAAUAACAUGAAGGUUAGGGGAUGGGUUUGUUUUCAUUUCCAAUUUUGCAAGUCAAAUUUCUGUACCGCGCGGUUCUUGUUAGGAAAUCAAUUCGAAUUUCACUUUAUCGAUCUGAUUCCGACCGCCGUAGGGAGUUGCCGCGUAUACCGUUACGGAUCAAUUAAAAACGAGACAAGUGCCUGGUACGAGGGAAGAGAGAGAGAGAGAGAAGAAUAGAGAGAAAAGAGAAACAAAAUUCACGCUCGGCGUGAAAGGAGCCCAAGGUACCAAACCCACACACGGGCGGCCACACCUGACCUAGACAUUUUCUUUUUAUGAUACACACGCAAGAACAACAACAGCCGGAUUCCGGCGCAGUGAGAAGCCUUUCUAUCUUCUGUCUGGAAAAAGUGUGUUACCUCCCUUGGAAAGGGGAACAAGCGCAACAACAACAGUAACAACACAAGCAACGCAACUCCUUUUUUUUUUCACGGUGAGACCACACCAACUUCAUUGUCAACUUGCGAAAGCUCAUCGCUGUGAUGAUGUAGAAAGCACAGUUAUGUCACAGCUUCGAGUUUCUUAUGUUAUGCAGCAGUGUUCUACUAUGGAGCCCGUUUUUUUUCUCCCCUCGAUUACACAGGUAGAAACGGGUUCCAACGUAGCCUGUGCACUAUACUUACCUUUUUUGUUGUUGUUCAUUAUCUCCCUUCAAAUACAAAGACGCCUGAAUUUCUUUCAAUCGUGAAGAAAUGAACCAUCAGACAAUCAAUUGUCACGAUGUGAUAGACUAUUAUAUUUAUUCCCAUCAAAAGCCAGACAGUGUAUAUUUACAAAAAAAAAAAAAGAAUUAGGAAGUUGCUAUAACUUGGGGAAGAAGAAAAAAAAAAAGAAAAUCAAACUACUGGCCAUUAUACGCACGCAAAAGUUUGAUUAGUCUGAGACGGGACUUUUUUUUUCUUUUCUCUCCACCAAGAUAAAGAAGCCGGAUCACAUUGGAUAAGGCUAAAAUAGCUGAGCCUCACUUUCCUUCAAAGGCCGUCUGGUCUGGCACCCAUCGCGACGUCACAAGGUGGGCUCGUUCUCGGUGGCUGGUUCUGUAUUGGGUUUUUCCCACCUGGAGCGGCGGGAGCCGCCGCCGUCGUCGACAGGUCGCUGCUUUCCCAAGAUGCAAAAGAUUAACAUUUUAUUUUUUUUUCCUUUUUGGAUUUUUCUCUCCUUUCAAAUGCUUCGUGCCAUUCCUUGGAGGCACUAGAGCAUUGGAUUGUCCAAAUUUCUCCGGUUUUUUCCUUUUGUUGUCGUUUUUUGAAAAAUAAAUAUCUUUCUCUCUAUAUUGCGCUGCUAACUGUUUUGAUGGUGCAAUGCCACCGGGCAGGCAGCCAACUUAUCACAGCAUUAUAAUUCCACUGUACCACUCGUCCGUCGAUUGUUUGUUUUUUUGACUCCCCUUGUAUAAAAUGUCUUGGCUUCAUUACGGAAUAGCUUUCGCCAGAUUACGUGGAAUUAAGAGAUGAACGAUUCCUGGUACUGCGUCCAAAAAUUUCGUCAUUAAAAACAAAUAAUUCAAACUGUCGUGUGGCGUAGUGACAAAAACAAAAAAACAACAAGGGAGAGACGGAUUGCGAAGACUCUUAAUGUCCUUUUUUUUCAUCAUCAUCCCAUGGGCAGGUGGUCAGAGCAGGUGAUGAGCCUUUUUUUUUUCUGGAGCGAGGUUGUCGCCCAGAAUCAUCCCAGUUGUUUUUUCCAGGUCUUGUCAACCGACCAUCUGCCAGUCGAGACACAGGUGGGCCGCAAGUAAUGAUGGCCUCGUUUACGGCACGUUACGCAAAAAAAAACAUUUUGUUCUCUACUACCAACCGAUUCCUGGACACAAUGCUCGCCAAGAUUUUUGUUCUUUCUUUCUUUGCAGGUACCCGACUGUACCAAGAACUGUUUGGUUAUGUUUCCCAAUGUUUCCCAGGAACAUUGGCGAUAUAUACGUGCAGCCACCGUCAAAACCCAAGGUCCAGUAAACCCCCACCCCACUCGCUACCACCCAGCAAAAAUUACGUACACGCAGAAAACAAAAUAAAAUCCCCCCACCUUCUUUUCCUUGACAACUGUGCACCGAAAAGUGCGGACAUUGGACCGGGAUUAGGUGCCGAUAACCUCCCAAGGUCUCUCUCCUACCUGCCACUAUUACAACUUGGAAUAUGGAAGCCACUAUACGGCAGCCGCGUGCAUAUCCAAUACGGCCGUGAUAUACAAAAACCAAAACCAAAAUUUCAAAUCAAAUAACUAGACACAGGUUGGUAGUUUGUGUGUGGCUUUGACUUGACAUUCGUUUGAUGUACAUACGCCCAUCAAUGUCCAAGAGAAUUGCGCCAGCAGCCUGGCAAGGUCAAUACCAGGAUUCAUUCUCUUGGCGCGUGAACAGAUUAAGGCUCUCUUAUUUGAUUUCAUGGAAUUUCCUCGACCCCAGUUUCUCAUAUUCUUGUCUGUCACUUUUUCCUUCUUGUUGUCGUCAUUUCAAUUUUUAUGAGCUUAAAUAAACCUGUCAGUGGAAAAUUAAAAUAACCUGAUUGAAACGAGUUGGAAUCAAAAUCUUUCUCCCUUCUCCUCGUAAAUGAUUUUUAAAUGUAAUACAAGGGUAGAAAGAAAAACAACCUACAUUCCACCUGCCCCUCUCUAUUGACGACAUCUGCUUUUUUAAAAAAGUUUUUCCCCAAUGAGGUAAAGAGGCCGAGGACCAACCAGUUGGGAGUCGACGGUCACGGCCGCCGGACCAAUUCACCCGUCCCUUUAUUUCUCUUCCAGGUAAGUGUUCCUGAUAUUUAUACACACCUACCGGGGUUUUUUUUUCUCUUGUUAUUUAGUUCACCUUCCUCCUUGUCGCUUCUCUAUACCGCCAACAUGGUCAAUGACGCGAGCGGCUCGACACAAACCCAAGUCAACCGUAAAACACGAAGAGAAAUAAAUAAAUCUGGGAGCUAUU